UUGGCCCCACUGUGCACCACACACUCCUUUCCCAGCCCAGGGGCACGCGAACAAAAUGAGGCUCAAGCUGACCAGGCCGAGCCGGAGGAACGCUGGGGCUUGGCAGCAGAAGGGAUGGGACCAGAGAGAAGGGUGUGGAGGAGACCCCAGUGAGGGCCAGGACAUUUCAGGUAAAGAGAGGUCAUAUCUCCGUACCUCACUUCCUGACACAAACAAGUUUUCACUGUUGUCAGCAACAAAGCCCUAAUAUAGCUGCGGAAGAGAAAAACUGCAUUGCAUUUUGCCUCCUGCAAGCAUCAUCAACAGUUACUGGAGGAACGUAAUUCCAGAAAGCUUGAAAGCCGUGGUGAUGGUAAUUAUGUAUCAAAUGCCUGGUUCUAUUUCUGUUAUUAUUGUUUUGUCAUUUCUGUUUUCCCAGCGAUCUGACUGAACUCGCAGAGGGACAAAUCCAGUUUUUCUUUUUGACUUUUGUCAAACUAAAUCAGGCCUGAUAGAAAACUCAUUGCUCUCCGGGGAAACAAAGUAGGAGCCACGAAAUGUCAUUUUAACAGAGCGUGGGUUUGGUGACUGUAGGAAAGGAUUUGAGGACGCUCCUUCUGUUCGGCUUCCUAUGUCAUGAGCACAGGCUCCACGCACGCACAGACACCACGGCUCCCGGAUGCUGUGGCUCCCCGAUCGGGGCUCCUGCAGCGCCAGAAGCCCCUCCGGGAUGCUUCGAGGGGCUCCCGGUGGGUGGAGGUACGGACGCCGCUGCGGCCGCCGCCGCCAGUCCUGCUGCUGUUGUUGCUGCUGCAGUCACGUGGGAGCCCCUUUAAGUUUCCAUAGAGAGGCCUCUCUGGUGUCACAUGAUGGACAUGAUAUAAUGAAACAACAUUGUGGAGAGGAAAGCAUUAGGGGAGCCCACGGCUACAAAAACAAGUGAGUGAGAAGAGGUGGGAGGAAGAGAAACUACGCCACCUCCCCUGCAGCCGAGUGCACGCAGCAGCCUGGCGUGACAAGUGGGCGACGCCGGGGGGCAGGGAGCCGGGGUCCUUGGCCCUGGCCGGGGACCCCACCGCCCACCGCGCGGAGGACAACUUUUAGCCGGCAGCCCAGACCAGCGCGGCACCUGUCUCCGGAGUCUCCACCGCUCCUCCCGAUUCAUCCCAGGGAAAUUCUCAAGAAUACGCUCUACAAAUCUACGUGCGCAUCAUUUUCACCUCGCGUCGCGCCCGGGAGGAAGGAACGAGGCAAGGAGCUAAAGCAGCGUGCGUUCAGCCCUGGGGCAUUUUAUUAAUGCUUUUACGAGUUAGAAGAGUUGGGAUAAUUUGCCAUCUGGAGUUUCUCUGCCUUGCUGAUCUGAGCUCAGACCUGCCAAUUUACCAGAGAUAAUUGAUAACACCCUGUAACAGCUGAGAGGAAAAUGGAAGAAACGGAGAUACUUUUAGUGAAGCAGAAUAAACCACUGAACAGGAAGAGGGACUGGAACCAUCUCAGAAGCCAUGCCCCUCAGGCUGGAACUUGCCCUGUCUCCUCGCAGAUGAGCUACCUCUUGUGUUUAAGAAUUAAAGGAAGAUGAGCUAGGAAUCAAGAAAUACGCAGAACUGAUUCCUGUCACUGGCGCCACCCUGCCACUUGCCCAGAGCUGUGGUAUAAAUUUUUUUAAUAGGCUGAAAUAAAAAUAUGAAUAGCAUUUUGGUAUUAAGCAUUAAAUUGAUAAAGGCUAUGAGAUACACCUGCUCUCAACCAUGUUAAUUUUUUAUUAUUGGUAUUAAUAAAUUAUUACUUACUAACAUAUUAACAAGAAUUGCAUUGAGAAACAAAGCAUCCACAGGCCAAAUCUUCUGAAUUUCAAAUGUUUAUAUUAAUGCGUUGUAUUCUAGAAAAGUAGAAUUGUCUUAAGUAGCUUUGUAAUAUAAAGUCAUCUAUCAGCCCAUUACACCUAUUAGAAUGUUUUAACCUUUAUUUCCCACUUUUUUGUUUCUAGACUGAGUGUACUUGGUCUGGUAUUUGUGGCAUAACUUACGGAACACAUAAGAAUGAUACAGAUACUAUUUAAUGAUGACCUAAUACAAGCUUAGAUAGCUAAGGUGAAAGCUUCUAUGGCCUUAACAUUUUCCUCUUGAAGAAUGUAUUUUCUGUAAUAAAAUACAGUGGCUACUUGAAAUCUAUAAACUUAUGUGAGGUCUGGAUAAAUCUGAGCAACUUUCUUCUUUGUGCUCCAGGAACCUACGCACUAUAUAUAUAAAUAAAGCUUAAGUAAACAUCACUGCAAAAAAAAAAAAAAAAAA
rnacentral:lncRNA from 1 species